CACCAAUCCAUUGUGUUUCGUAGAGAAGCAUUGAAUCUAACUAAAAAAAAACUCUAUGUAAAACCUAAAGUGAUGAUCUUAUUGUUCUUUUCACUCCUCUAAAGCCAAAGGACCCUGUGACAGAGCUCUCAUACGUCAACUAAGUACUCCGAUUCCAAUUCCGCCACCUAGCAACUAUCAAGGAUCCUGGAACGCAUCUGCUGAGGACUACUUCUUCCAAUCUGGACCAGGCUGUAGCUCUCACCUUCCA